AGCUUACGGCACUACACUCCCCGCACACUUUUUUUUUUUCCUCUUUUGCCUUUGGUUAUUGCCGUGCACCUACUAUCAGGAAUUUUAAUUCCGACGACACCAAACGAGAUUUGAAAGGGAUCUGUUAUACAAUACCCAAGCAAGUCUGAAAAGAAAAACUAUUGGCAGCUUCUGCAAUUCACUCCUUGUAUGUGAGAGAGGAAAUCAUUGUCUCGUUUAACUCUUUCAGGGACGGGAAGGCCGGCAGUGUGCUAGGUGGCUUUGUAUUGUCUUUGCAAUCGGUAGGAGAGGUAACCUGGCGUCUGCGUUUGGCGUACGGCACCCAACUUAGUUUGGGAAAAUGUUAGGAAGGGCUAGGAGCUGAGAGGUUAAUAGUUUGCAAAGUAUUGCAAGAUAUUUAUUUGACUCUUGCUUUUAAUCGGAGAACUUUCCAAAGACGGAUUUUAUGAACCCAGCUGGCCGCAUUUCGUUAGAAAGGGGGUUUCUCCCUCUUUCUUUCUCUUUUUUCUUCUCUUAAGUUGCUGUGCAAUUGAAUCAGAUUUACUCAGGACAACUCCACAUUCCUAGUCAUCAUUCUAUUAAGCAGCCACGAUUCCAUCCCUGGCUGAUGGGCAGAGAAAGUGGGCAGUUUGCCAGGUAGACGUUUCCAUGACUCCCAACCCCCAUAGGUGAUGCUUUUUUUUUUUUUUCUUUCCUUUCCCAGCUAAUUUAAUGAAGAGUGGGCUGAGCCGGGAGUAUACAGUAAGCUAGACAAUAGCAGCCUUCGUAAUAUCAGCAGAAUGGUUUAUGGGAAUGCUCUCCCCAUUUGGCAGAGGAUCAUGUGACCUUACGGCUGAGAUUUUGUGUUGGUGCCAAGGGGACCUGGAAAGCAGCACCCGUGCUGACUUUUUUUUUUGCCUUUUUUUUUUCUUUCAUGGCUCAGAAAAUGGCGGAUCUUAAUACUUGACUUUAGCCAGACUCAGCAAGCGAUUCAGCUUUGAAGCACAACUUUGCUUUUAUUCUGGCUCUUUUGGCAGGCCACCAGGAGGCUGUCCCUUUCACGCCUGAUAAAUUUUGCUGCUUAUCUUCAUAUGGAAAAAAGGACAAUAUAAGCAAUAUUAGCUACUAAUAACCAAUUUUUGUUGAAGUAAAACUGGACGUGCCGUGCAUUGCUCAUCUUGUUGAAUCUUCACGCCGUUUCAGUUGCAGAAACUUUUCUUCUAGUCUGUAAAGAGCCGGCUGAUAAAGCGGGCAAAUGGGGUGACAGCAUUAAACAUGAGCUCAUUUCUCCACAGUGCAGCACACUGGCACCCUGCCUCUUUGACCCUUUUGCUCCUGUAGAUCUGUGAAGUCUCUUUUUCUUAAAAAAAAAUCAGUGCAGACGACAAGUCUUUUCUGGAUUUUUCCCACCUAUGUCGCCGCUUGGGCUCUUGCGGCAAGGAUUGGUGCAGAUUUUGCGCAGUGCUUUGUGCCUGGAAUUCUGAAAAGAACCGAACAGAAAAAAAAAAGGCUUCGUGUGUCAUGGUCCUUUUCCUUUUUUUUUUUAGAAGGAAUGAGAAACUCAAGAGGUUAAAAAUGUCACAAAAAAGUAAGGUUUUUAUAUCAAGAUAUGCAGAAGAGUCAAGAUUUUCACAGGGGACGUUCUUAAGCUCCCCCCCACACCAUGUUCAAUUUUUUUUUAUUGUUCCUUUGCCCAUAUGUGACUCUACCACUUACUAUUGGAUAGAACGUUUCAUUGCACGGCAGUGAGUAAACAAAGAGAGACGAAAUUAAGGAAAAGACAGAUGCCCUCCAUUCUGGACACUAACCAAGCAAAGCCUCAUUUCUGCAUUACUAUAAAGGACCAGAGGCUGGAGAGAACCUGCUGGAGAAUUAAUUGAGGUUCCCAGCCUUUCCUGCAUGUUGUAGAUACAACCAACCAAGGCAAACCUACUAUAUAUCUAGAUGGCACCAAGUCUGAUCCAGCCAAUGAGAAGCGCUCAGCCUUUUUCUGCUUGUGAGAAGAUCUCCGCAACAACACCGACUUUGUAGACCGGAUUCCUUCCGACGGAGAGAACGAGUCGGGCCGCGAUUACAUUUGAUAUUUCUGUCACUUCGAAGAAGAAGGGAUUCUCCUAUUUUAUUGGGAAUGAUAACCCUGACAUAGAAACAGUAAGGGAUAUGAAUAUGCCGGAUCUUAAAACGCAAGGCAGCCAAAGCCCCCUGGUGAUAGGAAAAAUGUUUUGAAUUGGGUCUGUUGUUUCCUGUAUCAACAGUGUUUAAAAGUUGUGUAUGUGCUCUGGACUCGAGUUGCAUCUGCCUGUAACCUGGAGAGGGUUUUAUCACAUCCACUUGUAGAUAGGAAACCCAGGAUGAAAAUUACAUUAUCUUUCCUCUGGAGUAGCAAUGCUUACAGCACUGUGCAACCCUGGGCCCAUGUUAGCUACAGGGAACCCAUUUGCAUACAAAAAAAUACAAUGGUGCAACGACUGGCACUCAGUUGCAAUAUUACGGAACUUAUAUGCCCAAAAUUUCUGAAUACUUUCCGAGCUUUCUGUGUAAUGCUUAUCUCUAGCCAUGAUUUAAAUGUCUAUAUUUUGAAUGCCCUGCAUUCGUGUAAUUGCGAGUGUUUGCAGUGUCCACAUCUAUGGAGGAAGAAACCCACAGACCGAAGUUGGACUUUUCCUAGUCCCUGAGACCCUAACUUGUGAGGAUUUUUUAGCAACAAUCACAAGUUAGGCUCUUGGGACCUAGGCGGAGGGGAAACAGCAGCUUGUGGACUGUAUUGCUUGUGUGUCUGCGAUUUGUACAGAAUACAUCCCUGUAACUAUUGUCUGAGAUAAAAACAAAACUCUUCUUGAUCCCAAAGGUCUCUGGUUAUUUUACAACAAGCUGUUAAAUGUGUUCUCACUGCAAAAUAAAAAAAAGAAGAAUUCAACGACCUUGGUAUAUAUAUCUCUGUAUAAAAGCUGUAUUGUCUGUGCUUCCAAAACAAUGCACUGCCAUAGAUGCCUUACAAAAGAUUCAGAUAUUUUAAAGGUAGCUUGCAAAACAAUGGCAGGUAGAAUCAUUUUUUGGUCUGUCUGUUGUCUGCGAGAGUGAAUUAUAUUGCUGCUUAUGCUUUUCUUUUACAGUUUUUGGAACGAGCAAUUAAAGUUAUUCAAAAAUCUUUCAAUCGAUUGUUACUUCUGUAGAUUAAACUGCAAUAAAUGUCGGUUAUAUUAUUUUGCACUGAAUAAAAAUGUUCCUUUUUGUAUACUGCACAGUACUGUUAAUUCUUGUAUAUUAUUGUAAAGCCAUAUCAACUUGGGUAAAGCUUAAAGCGCUUCAUAUUGAAACCUAUAGUUGCAGCCAACGCCCCUUAAAAAAUGGCCAUAGUUUGUAACAAUCCCUAUGUUUUGUGCACUGUUUCUAUUUUGUAGAACUUAUAUAUAUUUAUCAGUACGCAGAGAAAUGUAUAUGAUAAUAGGAUAAACCCCAUUCCUUUACUUUUGGAAAAGUGCUUCAUAUUAUGUUAUAGGCACUGAAAUAUCUAUUUAUAAUAUAAAUAAAGCCCUCAGGGUAGUCAAUGAGCUGAUAAACAACACAGGAAUUGGUAGAAAACCUUUAAUGUGUCUAUGGAACACAUAAGUGAGUAUAGUGCACUCAUUACCUUUGUGGCCAGAAUCAAUCUGCAAAUCUUUAUCUCUGUCUGUAAAUGUAUUAGCAUUAGAAUCAAAAGAGAAGAGACUUAUAGUAAUGUAGUGUCCAAUAUUUUUGUUUUUCUCCCCAAUAUGGGAUUGUAGAUAAUCAGAUCAUGCUACAGCUAAAAAAAAAGAGAAAAACCCUAUCGCUACAGAAUGUCAGGGAUGGGGGGGGGAGCAAUGGCAGGGAAUCAUGUGCCGUGCAUACAAAAAAGGAGGGAUGUUAACAAUUCGAUAAAUUCCUGGCUGGUAGACCAGACUGAGCCAGACGCAUACAUUAACUGCUGUCUGCUGCUGAUGUGAGACUGCUCAGUGCGCUGGAAAUGAAGGCUCACCUAAGCGCUCACACCAGCUCAUUUCUGCAUUCUCAUUUUCAAAAGAAGAACAUUUAGGGAAAGAUUCUAGCCCCUUUCUGUAACAUUUUGCUAGCCCAGUGCCAGAAUUCUAACGGCAAUUUCUAAUUCAAUCAACAGCUCUAAGCCAAUUAGAUUAGUAUCGGAAAUAUUACAACUGUGAGUGUUCUCCACUUCCACAUCUAAGAAUAAUAUGGGGAUCUCUUUCACAGGGAAUUCCUUUUCUUCAAAUAAUAAUGAAAAGUUUAAUCCCUUAAUAAACAACAGGUUAUUUGUAUUUA